UACGUAGGGGGCUAGCGUUGUCCGGAAUCAUUGGGCGUAAAGGGCGUGUAGGCGGUGUUCCAUGUCAGAGGUGAAAGCCUGGGGCUCAACUCCAGAAUUGCCUUUGAAACGGGAACGCUUGAGUCCGAGAGAGGAUGGCGGAAUUCCUAGUGUAGAGGUGAAAUUCGUAGAUAUUAGGAAGAACACCGGUGGCGAAGGCGGCCAUCUGGCUCGGUACUGACGCUCAGGUUCGAAAGCGUGGGGAGCAAACAGG
rnacentral:rRNA from 1 species